UACGAAGGGUGCAAGCGUUGCCCGGAAUUAUUGGGCGUAAAGGGUAGGUAGGUGGUGACAUUUGUCUGGGGUGAAAUCCCUCAGCUUAACUCAGGAAGUGCCUUGGAAACGGUGUCACUAGAGUGCUGGAGAGGUUCGCAGAAUUCUUGGUGUAGCGGUGAAAUGCGUAGAGAUCAAGAUGAAUACCAGAGGCGAAGGCGGCGAACUGGACAGUUACUGACACUAAACUACGAAAGCGUGGGGAGCAAACAGG
rnacentral:rRNA from 1 species